rnacentral:lncRNA from 1 species
UUUUUUUUUUUUUUUGUAAAUUUAUUUUUUAUUGGUGUUCAAUUUGCCAACAGAUAGAAUAACACCCAGUGCUCAUCCCAUCUUUGUAUUAGGAUUUUGAUAAAAGGCAGAUUGAUGGAACAUGAUAGCUUAUUCACUUGCUAUAAGCCACAAGAAUUCUGAGCGUUAGGAAACUCAGUUUUUUUUAUUUUUUAUCAAAUUUUUAUUUAUUCUUAUUAUUCUUAAGGGAAAAGGGACAUUACACAAAAGUUAUCUACUUGAAACACUACCAGAAUUUAGUGACUCAAACUUUACAGAGUUGAUCAUAAAGUAGAUGAUCAAUACACUCUUAAGAUUGAUCUCAUAACCAUAUAACCAUAACUAUAUCUCAUUCCACAUGGUACGAGCUUUGUUAAAGGAGAUCACAGAGUCCCAAAGAAGGCUUGAAAAGGACUCUUGAACUCAAACUAGGGACGGGGGAAAAUAAAUUGUGGACCAUUUCCCAGAGUAAACAUUUUCAAAGGUGGGCAAAUGAUAUGACAUCAGAGGAGGAGGGUUAUAAGACUGAACAGCUCCCAGCUAUCUUGGGAAAGAUAAUGGCAUUGAUAUAGCUAAAAAUAAUACUCCCCAUUUCUGAAACAUAAAACCACAUAGGUGGUUUCCAUAACAUAUCUUAGAUAACUACCAUACUUAUACCUUAUAUUUAUGCUUGUGAUAGCAUAUUCUUAAUGGUUUGCAAUUUUUUUAUCUUUUCCCCAACUUCCGGAAUCCAAACAGAGAUUGUGAAAUAGAAACAUGAUCAUUGAAAAUCACUCAGAGAAUUCAUCCCCUUGGCUACUAUUCUCAAUGAAAACAGGAGAGCAGACAAGCAAGGAGCCCAUAUUUUCUGGAUGACCAAUAUAAACUACCUCUGCUUUGGUGAUUUUACACAAUAUAACUGAUGUUGAGGCAUGCAACUUGAAGCACAUUAGGUCAGCUGUCCCUUGGCUGGCACACCAACCACUGCCCUAGAAAUGAUGAAUAAGCAUUGUUCACAAUCAGAUUACUAUCACAGUUUGCCAAAGAGCAUUCCUCUCAGGCAAUAAAAUAUGACUUUGUUUUCAGUGUCAGACAUGAUUAAGUUAAAUGUGUGAAGAUUCCUAACCUUAUCGAUUUCCUUGUAUAAUGUUCAUAUUUCUCAUGCGUUUCAACACCUUAUUCAUGCUUAAAAUACAGGGGUACCUUUGAAAAAACAGCUACUGUUUAGGAAUCAAAGCAAAUAUUGGCAGGGAGAUAUCCAGCAAUGCUUCAUGGGAAAAGCAUACACAUAUACACAAAAAGAAAGACUCCUGGUUUUGUCUUUUUCCUCAGAUUUGACUAUGCUAAAUAAACAGACCAUGAAGAUGAACAGAAAGUCAUGCAGCUACAAUAGACCUAUGAAGAAUUUUAGUUAACCUCCUUCAUUUUACAGAUGAGUGAUGGAAGUUCAAUGUAACGUCAUGCCUGCUUCAAAAAUCACAUGGUAAGUGAUAAAAAUCAAAGCUGGAACCCAAGCCUCUUGAUUCUGAAACUAGGUCUCUCACCUGGUCUUAUACAACUUUAAUACCUCCAUUCCUCAGUUUCCUUAUCUGUAAAAUAGAGAGAUAACAGCAUAUAUUUCACAGGGUUGUUGUAGGCAUUGAAUAAUCUUAAUAUGUAUAGAAUUUCUUAGCACAAUGAUUCUCAUGUAAUAAAAUUCAAUAAAUAUUAGCUGCUAUUGUGGUAUAUUCUUAACACAUCCUUUUCUUCAAUAUUUUUAUUAGGAGCUGGCCUCAUGUCAAGUCAGCAAUCAAAUGUAUAGUGUGACUCAUACCCCACCCCACCCUCAAAAAAAGCCCCUUUACCAACUAUGUAUUUUUCACUAAGAUACUUAAAAUCCUUCCCUUAAGGAAUUUUUCUUUGGGUUGAGCAUUAUUUGCUUUCCAAAUACAGUUUUACAGCUGGAUCAUGCUUGGAUUAUUGCACUACUAUCUGUGUAUAUGAAUUUAACAGAUUUUUUUUCUAGUACAAUGUGAAGCAAGACAGAAGGGAGCUUCUAGAGGCCUAGAAUGUGAGAUAAAUAUAUAAGGAGCAAUUCAAAAGGGGGAAGAUGAGAUAGUACUAUAUAGUGAGUCAAUAUAAGGUAAGCAACGGGGACUUCUACAAAGGCAGUGGUCUGAGGCAAGGGUUAAAAUGUUUUACAUGCCUAAGAGACAAAUAUCUCCUUCUGGAAAAGAGAACAAAUGAGAGAUAACAGCCAGCAGGGAGUAAUGGUUAUCUGGGCAAAACGUGAAGCAACAAUUUAGAGCAUGCUUGCACUGUAUUUCUAUUUUCCCAAAACCCUGAAAGAAUGUCAACCAGGGACAAAGGCAUCCUGUGACUGUCUCAUGUCCACUAAAAAGUAAUGACCACAAAAUAAUGACCAUGGGGCUGAAGGAUGCUUCCUCACUCCUACCUCCUCAUCCUUUGGGAAAGUGCCUUUAUAAGGCCUGCAUGCUUCCCGCGCACAUUCUCCUUUCUCGCGGCUCCCUUGUAUACAAGCUAUCUCUAAUAAACCCCAUCUGCUUCAUCUCCCUCAAGCUCUAUGCUCAUUUCUAUGACACUGACUCAAGAACCUGGCCUUGGGGUCCAAUAACAAUACCAGCAACCUUCUCCACACAUGUGAGGUACAUUGCCCUCAUGCUGGACCCUCAUCAGAUCACUGGUGAGUCAAUGGUCAAGUCUAGAAGGAAUUUGGAGGAAAAAAAAUGUUGGAAAGCAAAAUCUCUAGAUGAGGGAGGAAUGGGAUUAAAGGAAUUUAGAAAUCAUUUACUAAGAGAGUAAGUUGAAGAACUGAUGUAUAUUGCAGGGCAGGUAGGAGUUGGGGGUACAAACAGGGGAGAGGGAGCCAGGAUAGAUUUGACUCCCCCUCCCUCAAAUGUAGGAAGGAUUAUUCCAUAAAGCCACCAUGAAUCCUUUCUGAACACCAGGGAAGUUAUUCACUUCUUCCUCUAAAUUCUCUACAGUUUUUCUUUGCUAACAUUUAUUACAAUAAAAUCUGAUUGUCUUUUUUUUGUCUUAUUAGAUUUUAAGCUCCCUGAAAGCUGGAACUAUGUCUUUCUGACCUUUGUGUUCUCACUUUGAAAACAACACUUGGCAUAUAAACCUGAUUGUUGAGCGAGAGGGGAAAAAAAAAAAAAGAAACAACUCUGCUCUGCAUAAUAUCAAAGAGCAGAACUAACACCAUGGGUACAAUUCUCAGAGAAAGAUUUCAACUGCAUAGCAGGAAAACCUCUCUAAUGUUUAGAUUUAUGCAUCAGUUUAUUUAGCAGUUCAUGGAGAAAGGAACAUUGUGGCUCUCCUGUAAGGAAUGUAGGAUCCUGCACUUGGCUGAAAGGUUGCAUUAAUGAUCAUUAAUUAGUUCAGGCUUUUAACAUUUUAGGACAAAUUAGUCCCUAAUUUGCCUCCCUGACAUUUUAUUCUCUCUCUGAUCCAUCUCCAUAUUUCUUUAAAAAUUAUUUUGCAAAAGAAAAAAAAAAACAAAAAACUCAUCACCUAUACUACUUGAAAAACCACUCGGUCUCAUUGAAAACAUCAGCAUUUGCUAAAGAACAUUUUUGUAGGAUCUUAAUCCCAUGGUAUGGUACCACUGUAAAAUAAAUUUGCAAAAUGCCACAUUCUAGUCCUCUUAGAGAUUCACAGUGCUCCUUAGCACCUGUUACAGAGACAUUGGUACGUCUCAGAUAAAAGGCAAUCUCAAAUUGGUUCUUUCCAGUCUAAGAUGAUGUUGCCUUUUUAUUUCCCUAUCACCCACAAAGUGCACAUGUUUCUCCUCUACUGUUUUUGAAGCUAAAAUGUUUCCCAGCUGUGAUUCGAGAGGCAGCAUCUCUGGUGAGUUGGAUCAGUGGGGUGUGUGGGGAGAGGGGUGGAUUGGAUGAGCUGGGCAGGGUCUCUGGAAGACAUAUAGUGACACCUGGCAGAUGAACAGGCUGACCACCUGAGGUUGUUGUGACCUCACACCUGGCAAUAUGGAUAAGAACUUGAUGCGAGGACAACUCCCACAAAGCUCAUUGGCAUGCUUUCUUCCAAAAAAUCUAGUCUUUUCCACCCUCCCUCUUCUUUCCACAGAGGCCUUUUACUUUCUUUCUCGUGGUGAAAUGCAUCUCCUUGACACCAAAGCUGGCAUCUGUAAACCACAGUAAAAUAUAAUAAGGGAUUGGUCAGAAACAGGGAAAGUUACCAUAAAUAGAGCUAGCAACACCCGACAGGUGACACUGUUGAGACCCUGCCCAGAUGUCCUUUAUCAAACAGGUGCACACAGCCUUCAGCUACUGUGAGUAUUGGCCACCAAUGGCCCACAGUGGUCCUCUUUUCCAGAGAAUUACCCUCUGAAACCAGAGCCACCUAGCUCCAGAGUUAGGUCCCUCUUUGUUCCUUCCUCCACGUAGUUAAUAACUGACCAACACAAGGCGCACCGGAGUGGUUCAGUGGGUUAAGCAUCUGCCUUCAACUCAGGUCAUGAUCCCAGGGUCUGACUUCUAUAUCUAUAAAAUUAUCUAUAAUCACUUUCAUCUCUAAUUGUUUUUGAUUUCCAUAUCUUUCUCUGUGAUUAGAUCAAGCCUUUCUUCUAUGCCAUGGAUGCUGUUUUCAUCAUUGCAUUAUUUAAUUCUUUAUAUUUUUAACAUGGCCACAUUUUUUGAUAGAUUUAUUUUUCCAUUCCAUCUUUUAAGACUUACCAGCUCUUCCUCUCAAUGUGGUAU